ensembl:snRNA U6 U6 spliceosomal RNA
GUGCUCACUUCAGCAGUACAUAUACUAAAAUUGGAACAAUACAGAGAUUAGCAUGGCCCCUACAUAAGAAUGACAAGUAAAUUCAUGAAGCAUUCCAUACUUUU